AGUGAACGCUGGCGGUAGGCCUAACACAUGCAAGUCGAACGGCAGCACAGUAAGAGCUUGCUCUUACGGGUGGCGAGUGGCGGACGGGUGAGGAAUACAUCGGAAUCUACUUUUUCGUGGGGGAUAACGUAGGGAAACUUACGCUAAUACCGCAUACGACCUACGGGUGAAGGCAGGGGAUCUUCGGACCUUGCGCGAUUGAAUGAGCCGAUGUCGGAUUAGCUAGUUGGCGGGGUAAAGGCCCACCAAGGCGACGAUCCGUAGCUGGUCUGAGAGGAUGAUCAGCCACACUGGAACUGAGACACGGUCCAGACUCCUACGGGAGGCAGCAGUGGGGAAUAUUGGACAAUGGGCGCAAGCCUGAUCCAGCCAUACCGCGUGGGUGAAGAGGGCCUUCGGGUUGUAAAGCCCUUUUGUUGGGAAAGAAAAGCAGCAGGUUAAUACCCCGCUGUUCUGACGGUACCCAAAGAAUAAGCACCGGCUAACUUCGU
rnacentral:rRNA from 1 species